rnacentral:rRNA from 1 species
AUUGAACGCUGGCGGCAUGCCUUACACAUGCAAGUCGAACGGCAGCACGGGAGCAAUCCUGGUGGCGAGUGGCGAACGGGUGAGUAAUAUAUCGGAACGUGCCCAGUAGUGGGGGAUAACUGCUCGAAAGAGCAGCUAAUACCGCAUACGACCUGAGGGUGAAAGGGGGGGAUCGCAAGACCUCUCGCUAUUGGAGCGGCCGAUAUCAGAUUAGCUAGUUGGUGGGGUAAAGGCCUACCAAGGCAACGAUCUGUAGUUGGUCUGAGAGGACGACCAGCCACACUGGGACUGAGACACGGCCCAGACUCCUACGGGAGGCAGCAGUGGGGAAUUUUGGACAAUGGGCGCAAGCCUGAUCCAGCAAUGCCGCGUGCAGGAAGAAGGCCUUCGGGUUGUAAACUGCUUUUGUCAGGGAAGAAAUCCUCUAGGUUAAUACCCUUGGGGGGAUGACGGUACCUGAAGAAUAAGCACCGGCUAACUACGUGCCAGCCGCCGCCGUAACAC